rnacentral:rRNA from 1 species
UACGGGGGGGGCAAGCGUUGUUCGGAAUUACUGGGCGUAAAGGGCUCGUAGGCGGCCAACUAAGUCAGACGUGAAAUCCCUCGGCUUAACCGGGGAACUGCGUCUGAUACUGGAUGGCUUGAAUCCGGGAGAGGGAUGCGGAAUUCCAGGUGUAGCGGUGAAAUGCGUAGAUAUCUGGAGGAACACCGGUGGCGAAGGCGGCAUCCUGGACCGGUAUUGACACUGAAAAGCGAAAGCCAGGGGAGCAAACGGG